UACAGAGGGGGCAAGCGUUGUUCGGAAUUACUGGGCGUAAAGGGCGCGUAGGCGGCCUUCUAAGUCGAACGUGAAAUCCCCGGGCUCAACCCGGGAACUGCGUCCGAUACUGGAAGGCUUGAAUCCGGGAGAGGGAUGCGGAAUUCCAGGUGUAGCGGUGAAAUGCGUAGAUAUUCGGAGGAACACCAGUGGCGAAGGCGGCUCACUGGUCCAUUACUGACGCUGAGGUGCGAAAGCGUGGGGAGCAAACAGG
rnacentral:rRNA from 1 species